rnacentral:rRNA from 1 species
UACGGGGUGGGCAAGCGUUGUUCGGAAUUACUGGGCGUAAAGGGCUCGUAGGCGGCCAACUAAGUCGGAUGUGAAAUCCCCAGGCUUAACCUGGGAACUGCAUCCGAUACUGGAUGGCUUGAAUCCGGGAGAGGGAUGCGGAAUUCCAGGUGUAGCGGUGAAAUGCGUAGAUAUCUGGAGGAACACCGGUGGCGAAGGCGGCAUCCUGGACCGGCAUUGACGCUGAGGCGCGAAAGCCAGGGGAGCAAACGGG